rnacentral:misc_RNA from 1 species
AGCAGCCGCGGUAAUUCCAGCUCCAAUAGCGUAUAUUAAAGUUGUUGCAGUUAAAAAGCUCGUAGUUGAACUUCGGGGUUUACUCAUUGGUCAGGCUUAAUUGUCUGUACUGGUGAGAUGAAUCUCUACCUUCUGAGGAACUUUCAUGCCAUUUAUUUGGUGUGAUUGGAAAUCAGGACUGUUACUUUGAAAAAUUUGAAGUGUUU